UGGAACACGGGCCUCGACUGUUUACCAAAAACAUAGCCCUCGGCUAAUAUGAAAAUAGAUGUAUAGAGGGUGAUGCCUGCCCAAUGGUUGUAUCUAAAAGCGGUUGAUAAAAGUCGACCUCGUAAGGACAAUUGAAUGGCCGCGGUAACACUGACCGUGAUAAUGUAGCGUAAUCAAUAGCCAAUUAAUUGUUGGCCAGUAUGAAUGGCGCCACGAAGGCCCCACUGUCUUAAGGAAAUUCCCAGUGAAAUUGAAUUCGUAGUGAAGAUGCUACGUCCAAUUUGUUAGACGAAAAGACCCCGUUGAGCUUUACUGGGGCACUUACACGGCCCCGGCCUUCCCGUGUCCGGGAACCGGCCGAAUUUAAAUGGGUGGUUUAGACUAUGUGGCAGCCCCCCGCCGGGGCAGAUGAAACCCCACUCCCCCAUGUCAAAGGGGCUAACCCCCUCUUGGGGGGGAGAGUGUAAGUAGGACAGUUUGGUUGGGGCGACCGCCUUUUAAAGAGUAACGAAGGUGCGCUUAAGGUGCGCAAUUAAUGACUGAAGCCUGACUGCGAGGGGGACACCCCGAGCAGACACCCCUAAGCCCGCCCGAAGGGCGGCGGUGGGGUGGGCCAUAGUGACCCGUUAAUUUAGAGUGGAAUAGUUAACGAUCAACGAAUAAAAG
rnacentral:rRNA from 1 species